AGAGUUUGAUCAUGGCUCAGGAUGAACGCUAGCUGGAGUGAUACAUGCAAGUCGAGCGGGAUUGGGUAGCAAUACCCAUGAGAGCGGCGCACGGGUGAGUAACGCGUACACGACCUACCUUUGACUGGGGGAUAGCCCUGGGAAACUGGGAUUAAUACCGCAUAUAAUUCUGAUAAAUAAAGAGUUGGAAUGAAAGUUCAGGCGGUCAGAGAUGGGUGUGCGUCUGAUUAGCUAGUUGGUAAGGUAACGGCUUACCAAGGCGAUGAUCAGUAGGGGGCGUGAGAGCGUGGUCCCCCACACGGGUACUGAGACACGGACCCGACUCCUACGGGAGGCAGCAGUAAGGAAUAUUGGACAAUGGCCGCAAGGCUGAUCCAGCCAUCCAGCGUGCAGGAAGAAGGCCCUACGGGUUGUAAACUGCUUUUGUCAGGGAAUAAACCUGUGGAUUUACUCCGCAGCUGAAGGUACCUGAAGAAUAAGCACCGGCUAACUCCGUGCCAGCAGCCGCGGUAAUACGGAGGGUGCGAGCGUUAUCCGGAAUUACUGGGUUUAAAGGGUGCGUAGGCGGCUAUGUAAGUCAGGAGUGAAAGUUUGCGGCUCAACCGUAAAAUUGCUUUUGAUACUGCAUAGCUGGAAUCAGGAUGAGGUCAGCGGAAUGUGGCAUGUAGCGGUGAAAUGCAUAGAUAUGCCAUAGAACACCAAUUGCGAAGGCAGCUGGCUAGACCUGUAUUGACGCUGAGGCACGAAAGCGUGGGGAGCGAACAGGAUUAGAUACCCUAGUAGUCC
rnacentral:rRNA from 1 species